CCUACGGGGGGCAGCAGUGGGGAAUAUUGGACAAUGGGGGGAACCCUGAUCCAGCCAUGCCGCGUGUGUGAAGAAGGCCCUCGGGUUGUAAAGCACUUUCAGUGAGGAAGAACGCCUGGUGGUUAAUACCCAUCAGGAAAGACAUCACUCACAGAAGAAGCACCGGCUAACUCCGUGCCAGCAGCCGCGGUAAUACGGAGGGUGCGAGCGUUAAUCGGAAUUACUGGGCGUAAAGCGCGCGUAGGUGGCUUGAUAAGCCGGUUGUGAAAGCCCCGGGCUCAACCUGGGAACGGCAUCCGGAACUGUCAAGCUAGGGUGCAGGAGAGGAAGGUAGAAUUCCCGGUGUAGCGGUGAAAUGCGUAGAGAUCGGGAGGAAUACCAGUGGCGAAGGCGGCCUUCUGGACUGACACUGACACUGAGGUGCGAAAGCGUGGGUAGCAAACAGGAUUAGAUACCCUAGUAGUC
rnacentral:rRNA from 1 species